AACGUAGGAGACGAGCGUUAUCCGGAUUUACUGGGCGUAAAGCGCGUGCAGGCGGUUCGGCAAGUUGGAUGUGAAUACGCCCCGGCUGCCACAUCGGGAGGGGGCGGUUCAAUUACUACCGAACUCGAGGAAGUGGGUAGGAAGGAAGGGUAGGCGAAUUCCCGGUGUAGGUGGUAGAAAUGCGUAGAUAGUCGGAGGAACACCAGUGGCGAA
rnacentral:rRNA from 1 species